UACAGAGGGGGCAAGCGUUGUUCGGAAUUACUGGGCGUAAAGGGUGCGUAGGCGGCGCGGUAAGUCGGGGGUGAAAUCUUGGAGCUUAACUCCGAAACUGCAUUCGAUACUGCCGUGCUUGAGGACUGGAGAGGAGACUGGAAUUUACGGUGUAGCGGUGAAAUGCGUAGAUAUCGUAAGGAAGACCAGUGGCGAAGGCGGGUCUCUGGACAGUUCCUGACGCUGAGGCACGAAGGCCAGGGGAGCAAACGGG
rnacentral:rRNA from 1 species